AAGCGAAAUAAGAAUGUGACUGGCCACACUGAAACAGGACAACUUUAAAAUUUAAAUCACUUAUAACUGGAAAUAACAGAAUAAAGGAGCAAGGAUAUCCAGGCUGCCUACUCUCUGCCUACAGAGAUCUGAACUGAGAGAACUGUGAAGUUGACAGUGGAUCGGAACAUCACUAGCAAGAUGGAAAGAACAAAGACAACAAGCUCCUGGCGAUUCUCCUGCAGAAUUCCUCUAGUCACGUAGUAUACGCAGAACACUGAAAAGGAGAAAGAAAGUAAAGAAAAAAAGCAU